CCAGGACAGCUAGGGCUAUACAGAGAAACCCUGGAAAAUUCCUGAAGAGGUGCUGUUUAUAGUCAGCAUUGGGAAGUGGGAAAACUAUAUUCUGAUCAGUACCACCACCAGCAGCAGGAAUUGCAUAGACAUACCAGCCAGAAGCAUAAGUAGGUGGCAGGCAGGCGUAGGCAAGCAGAACAGCUUUAUCCUCUGAUUUCUUUGCUUGGUAUGGGCCUUUUCACUUCAGAUACACAUUCCUCAAAAUGACCUCACAGACCCACCCAGAAGCUCUCCUCUUAGCUGAUUUCAGAUCCAGUCAAGAUGACUAUCACUAUUUAGUAUCUCUCUCUCCAAAAUUUUACAUGUUGAAAUUAUAAAACAGAACUUUAGGAAUAGGAAAACAUUGCCUGGGUAUUGGAAACCUAUGAAGGUUUUAUGUGAAGGUACUAGAGUUAUAUCAUAAGAGUUACAUCUAGAAUAGGAAUCAUGGCCAUAUUCUCAGUACUCACAUAAUAUUCUGGGUUUGGAAAUUCGUGUCAAAGUGAACAAUCACCAGGACCUUCACAGUGCUCACUGGAGUGAAGACACUGAGGACUGUACCACAAGAACUGUGCAGACCUUGACAGUCUCUUCCCUCUUGGCUUGCUAAGAGUAUUUCUGGGGUUGGGACCUUAGUGUUUCUGGACCACUUGACUUGGACUCAGAAGUGAGUAGGUUUAUCAGACUCCAGUUAUAGAAUGGUUACUACUUGACACUUUUAUUUGAUACUCAUUGCCAAACAGGGCAAAAUGUUAGUCAAGAUACUGGAAGAAUAGGGAGAAAUUACUCUGCCCACCCUUGCACUCAGCAUAUAGGCAUUAGAAGGACUAGACCUGUUAGAUGGUAAUAUCAUCUAACAAGCAGUGCAGGAACCCAGAUCUGCUACUUACAAUGGGUCUAAUAUGCAGCAUACUUAGACCAUGAGAGAGAAUAUGGAGUUUGGCAAUGAGGUACAUGUAAACUAAGCUCAGUAGGCCAGCAUCUCACUAAUGACCUCUCUUAGCAUGGUGAAGCAGGACAUCAGGCUAGUAAGGCCUUCUGUGCCCAUAAGAAUGCUGAGAUAGAAAAACUCUUGGAACAGGGUCUGAGCCAUGUGAUUAAUCUGUAUAGUGUGCUCUGGACCACAAGAAACUCCCAGACAACCUUGAGAUCUCUUGUGUUGCCACUUUCUUUCCCCCAUCUUAAUAGUAAGGCUGCUUAUAGUGUUGGGUGUGGCUGAUCUGAUGUGGUGUUCCGUUGUUGCUGGAGAUGCCUCUUUCUGAUUUCAGAUGCCAUGCAGCUGCCACUGAACAAGAGGAAACUGUAACUCGCAGUGGCUUACUCAGAUCAUGUGACUGUUAAGGUUUAGACCUUCAAUGAGGAGGCAAUCUCUGUUCCACUUUGUACUUUAUCAGAUCUGCUUGGUUGGUGCUGGCAAAGAAACAGAAAAACUGCAAGAGCUUCUCUUGAAGUCAUGGCCCAGAAUGGACCAAAGUGGUGUCACAGGAUGUUCCGGGGAGAGUUUCCCAUAGACGCUUUUCAGAAAGUCCAGGUUCAUCUUACUACUUUCCUGUCGUCUGUCUUGUGGCCUGGAAUACAGUUUCAAUGCUGUACUGUGCAUUGAAGACUCUGAUUGGCUUCUAGAUCUUCAUGCUAUGAUUCAUGGAGAAGAAAGAGAGAACCACAACACCGAUGGUAUUUGGAGUUCCUGAUUCAUAGCUUCAGAACACCGACUGUUUCAAGCUGAUGUGUAUGCUCUGAAGAUCAUCUGGCACCUGAUUUUUGUAUUCUAGUUUUUCUUAUAAAAAUUAAUUGCCAGUCUUCUAUAUGGAGUCUUUGUAUGAAUAAAUAAAAACCUUUUCAUUAUGUUA